AUUGAACGCUGGCGGCAGGCCUAACACAUGCAAGUCGAACGAGUGGCGGACGGGUGAGUACUGUCUGGGAAACUGCCUGAUGGCGGGGGAUAACUACUGGAAACGGUAGCUAAUACCGCAUACCAUCGGAUGUGCCCAGAUGGGAUUGGCUAGUCGGUGGGGUAACGGCUCACCUAGGCGACGAUCCCUAGCUGGUCUGAGAGGCUGACCAGCCACACGGGAACUGAGACACGGUCCAGACUCCUACGGGAGGCAGCAGUGGGGAAGAUUGCACAAUGGGCGAAAGCCUGAUGCAGCCAUGCCGCGUGUAUGAAGAAGGCCUGCGGGUUGUAAAGGACUGUCAGCGGGGAGGCGUUACCCGCAGAAGAAGCACCGGCUAACUCCGUGCCAGCAGCCGCGGUAAUAC
rnacentral:rRNA from 1 species